UUAAAAAAGAGAAAAAAAACACUAAUCCAAUAAAAUACUGCAAGUUUACUAAUUAAAAAAUGAUUAGUCAACGCCCCACAUAAUAAAACUCAUAACGAGAUUACCUACCGCGAGCUUUAAUCUGAUCUACAAAAACCCUCACGUUAAAUCUCAGCCGUCGAUUCAAUUUAACGACUUUUAAUUCGCUCUUGUCAGCAUCCAAUCAGAACAGAGCAGAGAGAAACGCGUCGUCUCUCCCACUUUCCCCCUUUUGAUUAUUAUCGGAUCAGAACAAUUUGGAAAAUUUUGAGGUUUCUUCUGGAUUGGUGAGAAGAUUCUUCAAACUUUUUUGCUGAAUUCGAUUAAAGGGUUUCUCCGUUCACGCUAAUCCUUCUCAAAAAUCUUAACUUUCCCGAGAAAGUUUGAGUUUUUUUUUCUCCCCCGAGAAACCGUCGGCAGUGACUACGGUUUGAUGCAAUUCGUGGAUUAGGAAAUAAAGGAAGAAUCUUUUAUCUUCUUUGCCCUUUUGGUCUGUGUUAUGGAGACGACUUGUGGAGAGGAUAAGGAAGCCAAUGGGUGUGAGAAUGGUCAUAAGGCUGCUGUUGUUAGACUUGAGGAUCAGAUAUCUGAGGAGGAAGAGGAGGAAAGUGAGUCGCAGUGUUUGUUGCCUCCGAGGAAAGGAGGGAUGUCGAGAAGUACUGACAAGAUUAAGAGGACUGUUCAGUGGAAUGACAUCAAAGGAGAUAAUCUUGCUGAGGUUUUAGUUUAUGAACCAAGUGAAGUAAGCGAUACAGAUGAAGAUGAUUCAGAUUCCUGCAUCUGCACAAUUAUCAAACAGUUUUUUUGGGAGGACAGAAGAAACCAACAUAAGAGAGUGGACUUGUUGUGACAAGAAGACCAGUCCAAACGAGGGAUGUAGACUCAGAUAAAAAGCUCAUAUCGGAGUGAGAGUAUAUAAGAUUAUAGAUUUACUUGCUGUAUUGUUCAAUAGAGGCUUAUCUUCUAAACAAACUAUGUAAUGUCUUUCUGCAACUUACCAAUGCUAAUUAAACUGUAAGCACUUCUUUAAAACGUUGAAAGAUCGCAAUUAGUUGCAGAAAACAACCAGUGGGGAAAAAAAAUAAACAAAAUCAUAAUCAUAUCCUUACACACAAAGAAUCAGAGAAUGCUACAAAAA